GUAAUUUGUUAAUUAAGACGGGGCCGAAACCUCGAAUUUGACAUUCGUUAUACUUAUAGUAGUUUGUGUGAGCGAGACGGUCCGGGGGCUAACCCGGACCAAUCCCGAAAAAGUGCACAGGGGUUUGAGUUUGGACGAGGCAAACGGGCGUCGGCAACACAGCGUCUCCACCGGUGCGCAACGGAACCCGAACGCCCCUAGAAGUUUCAAUAAUGAUCCUUCCGCAGGUUCACCUACGGAAA
rnacentral:misc_RNA from 1 species